rnacentral:rRNA from 1 species
UACGGAGGGUGCAAGCGUUGUCCGGAAUCAUUGGGUGUAAAGGGUGCGUAGGCGGGCUAGUAAGUCUGGGGGUGAAAUCCCACCGCUCAACGGUGGAACUGCCUUGGAUACUGCUAGUCUUGAGUAUGUCAGAGGUCGGUGGAAUUCGUGGUGUAGCGGUGAAAUGCUUAGAUAUCACGAAGAACACCAGUGGUGAAGACGGCCGGCUGGGAUAUAACUGACGCUGAGGCACGAAAGCGUGGGGAGCGAACAGG